ACACAACUCUGGAGAGUCCCGCGAAAGGCGGGCGCCGAAGGUGUUAAGAGAUUUCAUACCCGUAGGAAUCUCGAAUCUCUCAGGCAAAAGGACAGGGCUG
rnacentral:ncRNA from 1 species